UAUUGCACUAGUCCCGGCCUAU
rnacentral:miRNA from 1 species